rnacentral:rRNA from 1 species
AGCUCAGUAACACGUAGUCAACAUGCCCAGGGGACGUGGAUAACCUCGGGAAACUGAGGAUAAACCGCGAUAAGUCACUACUUCUGGAAUGGGUAAUGACUAAAAUCUACAUGGCCCCUGGAUUGGACUGCGGCCGAUCAGGCUGUUGGUGAGGUAAUGGCCCACCAAACCUGUAACCGGUACGGGCUCUGAGAGGAGGAGCCCGGAGAUGGGCACUGAGACAAGGGCCCAGGCCCUAUGGGGCGCAGCAGGCGCGAAACCUCUGCAAUAGGCGAAAGCCUGACAGGGUUACUCUGAGUGAUUUCCGUUAAGGAGAUCUUUUGGCACCUCUAAAAAUGGUGCAGAAUAAGGGGUGGGCAAGUCUGGUGUCAGCCGCCGCGGUAAUACCAGCACCCCGAGUGGUCGGGACGUUUAUUGGGCCUAAAGCAUCCGUAGCCGGUUCUACAAGUCUUCCGUUAAAUCCACCUGCUUAACAGAUGGGCUGCGGAAGAUACUAUAGAGCUAGGAGGCGGGAGAGGCAAGCGGUACUCGAUGGGUAGGGGUAAAAUCCGUUGAUCCAUUGAAGACCACCAGUGGCGAAGGCGGCUUGCCAGAACGCGCUCGACGGUGAGGGAUGAAAGCUGGGGGAGCAAACCGGAUUAGAUACCCGGGUAGUCCCAGCUGUAAACGAUGCAGACUCGGUGAUGAGUUGGCUUCUUGCCAACUCAGUGCCGCAGGGAAGCCGUUAAGUUUGCCGCCUGGGGAGUACGGUCGCAAGACUGAAACUUAAAGGAAUUGGCGGGGGAGCAC